rfam:Schistosoma haematobium scaffold545_26, whole genome shotgun sequence.
ACCCAGCUGAUGAGCCCCAAACAGGACGAAAUGCGCCUCUUGGAU